rnacentral:lncRNA from 1 species
UCGGCAAGUUCCAGCGUCAAGGUCGCAGAUGGGAUAGUCAUGAGGGCAGCAGCUGUAGUGGUCAUCGCAGCAGGUUGCGGAUUCAAGAGGGCAGCAUCCCCAGCCAAAGCAGAAUCCACCGUACUCGUAGACACAGCAGCAGGUGGUGGCCUCAGGGCAGGAGUAAUAUUCAUCACAGACAGUCGGUGGCCUUACCGGAGAUGGGGGAGAUGGUCCCGGUUUUGGUGGGUUCUGGCCUUUCUUGGUGGGGUAAGAGGCCUCCAUUGCGAUCCCACACUUGCCAGUGUCAGUGCUGGCCACAUUGCGCUCCAUCCUGAUGUAACCACUCUCUCCCCACUUAGGACCCCAUGAGUUCCUCACAAUCCAGUAGUCUAUGCCAU